rnacentral:rRNA from 1 species
GACGAACCGUGCGAACGUUGUUCGGAAUCACUGGGCUUAAAGGGCGCGUAGGCGGGUGGUCUUGUCCGGGGUGAAAGCCUCCCGCUCAACGGGAGAAGAGCCUCGGAAACGGGCCGUCUCGAGGGGGAUAGGGGCAUGUGGAACUUCCGGUGUAGAGGUGAAAUUCGUAGAUAUCGGGAGGAACACCGGUGGCGAAGGCGGCGACCUGGGUCGAGACUGACGCUGAGGCGCGAAAGCGUGGGGAGCAAACAGG